rnacentral:rRNA from 1 species
GUGGGGAAUUUUGGACAAUGGGCGCAAGCCUGAUCCAGCAAUGCCGCGUGCAGGAAGAAGGCCUUCGGGUUGUAAACUGCUUUUGUACGGAACGAAACGGUCCGGGUUAAUACCCUGGGCUAAUGACGGUACCGUAAGAAUAAGCACCGGCUAACUACGUGCCAGCAGCCGCGGUAAUACGUAGGGUGCAAGCGUUAAUCGGAAUUACUGGGCGUAAAGCGUGCGCAGGCGGUUUUGUAAGACAGGCGUGAAAUCACCGGGCUCAACCUGGGAAUUGCGCUUGUGACUGCAAGGCUGGAGUGCGGCAGAGGGGGAUGGAAUUCCGCGUGUAGCAGUGAAAUGCGUAGAUAUGCGGAGGAACACCGAUGGCGAAGGCAAUCCCCUGGGCCUGUACUGACGCUCAGGCACGAAAGCGUGGGGAGCAAACAGGAUUAGAAACCCCGGUAGUCC